rnacentral:misc_RNA from 1 species
GGACUGCAUAAUUUGUUCUGAAUAAUCACUGAAUUAUAAUAUGCAAAUGUUUUUGUGCAAAUAUGUAGUUACAACGCUUUAGGAUAUCAUGGACUUUAGGGUACUGUUUAAAUGAUAGGUCUCCAUACAGACUUGACCGGUUGUGGUUCCAUGAAGAUUUUAUGACAGGACUGGAGGACACCUAUUUAUUGACAGUGCCUGAGUGGUUAUAGUUGAAGAAUAGUAAAGUACAGAACUUUGACAUAAGACACUGUGACAUACUAUACAUAAAAUGAUGCAGGAGGUUGUAUUUUGGAUGAGAGGGGAAAGAACACAUUUAUUACUCUGUGCAUUGUGAAGUAACAGUAAUGCAGAAUACCUACAGACCAUGAAGUUGAGAAAUGAAAAGAUGCAGCUGUAAAUUGUUUAAUACGGUGUGUGGGGAAAACAUUGUGGAUAUGAAGCAUAGAAAUCAUGUGUCAAUGUGAAGUAACUGUAACACAGAAUGGCUGGAGACCAUUACCUUAAGAACUGAAGAGAUGCAGGGCAUUGUUCUAUAUGGUGAUUGGUGGAACCAUGGUGCAGUUUUGAAUUUAUAAGGCGUGAAGUUACAGAAAAGCAGAAUAGCUACAGACCAUGAAAUUUAGAAAAUGAAGAGUUGCAUGUCUCAGUUCAGCAUGGUGUAUAUGGGAAACAUUGUGUAUGGCAGACAUGAAAUAAUUUGUGUGAAGUAACAGUAAAGCAGAAUGGCUACAGACAAUUAGUUCAGUAUUGAAGAAGAGAUGCAGGUCUUUGUUCUAUAUGGUGUAUGAGGGAACCAUGGUGGAAAUUUGGAUUUCAUGGCAGUCAUAGAAAUAUCUAAUAAGUCUGUAGGAAAGUGAUGUGUGUACCAGUCUGUCAGACUUUUACCUGUCUGUCCAGUCGACAAAUUCGCAAUAGAUGCGUAAAUUCUCAAAUAAUUGGCAGAGUUUUCACAGUUACUAAGACAGAUUGCAAAAGAUUUUUGGACUAUAUGCGGAUACAUUAAAAAACUACUCCAGACUGGUAGACAUGACAGAUAUUUAUUGGAAAUAUGAACAUAGACUUAAAACUUUGAUGUGUAGCAAAAAAGUUCAUCGUCGAUGAUAGUGAUUUUCUAAGCUAUAUUGACUGGAACAGGGUUGUUCUUUACAGAGCUGUCAAUGCUGCAGUUUUGUUGUGAAAGUCACAGUCCAUUUCAGAAGGUGCUUGUUUUACUAUACAGCAAAGACAAAGAAAUUGUACUUGGCCUACACCUAUAUGGGAAAUAGUUAAUUUUGAAUAUCUCAGCAACCAAAGGGUUUACAGCAAUGGAACUUCACACUCUAGUAGCUGAUAACAAUAAAAACCAGUGGCUAAAAGAAUUUUAUCAAGGACUAUAUUCCUGUGCGGAUAGAUUAAAAAACUACUCCAGACUGGUAGAUAUGACAGAUGUUUAUUGGAAAUAUAAACAUGGACUUAAAACUUUGAUGUGUAGCAAAAAAGUUCAUCGUUGAUGAUAGUGAUUUUCUAAGCUAUAUUGACUGGAACAGGGUUGUUCUUUAGAAAUACAGAGCUGUCAAUGCUGCAAUUUUGUUGUGAAAGUCACAAUCCAUUUCAGAAGGUGCUUGUUUUACUAUUCCAUCAAAGAAGAAGAAAUUGUACUGGGCCGACACCUUAUGAGAUGGCAUUUAUGUUUGUUGUACUCGAUUACAAAAAUAAUGUGCUUGAUUUACGAAAAGAUUGGAUUACGCACUUAAAUCGAGUAAACUACUUACCCAAAAGCCUGAAAUUAGAGUGCUUGGACAAUGUGAAGUUUGUCGCAUAGAUGGGGAUUGACCGCCUUUGUAUAUAUAAGUCUACAACUUCUCUGAUUUGACCGAAGACAAUUGUUUGGUGUUGUGAAUGGAGAAAUAUAUGAGGUAGGGCUCUGCAGUUUUCCAUAAACACAACAAGAAGUUUACAUUUGUUGCACAGAUUUGAAGGAAUUGUUAUAGGAAAGGUGUACAGAAUGUAAGGAUAUGACAGCCAAACACCUUCCCCAGGAUUCCAUGCAGCAACCUUCUGAUAGAAAUAUGUACCUGUUGUGCAAAGGGGAUAAGCUGGCUUAGUAACAGGAAAAAGAAAAGGAAAAUGGCCCCAGGAAAGACAAGCUACAGUAGAUACAAGUUGCUAAGGACAAAAAUGUCUGUUAUUCAUGGAAACAUCAGAGUUCAGCUGGUUCUUGAAACAGAUUUGGAGAUUAUAGUAUGCAGCAGAGCAAGACCUCUACACCUGAAACAUCUCGCCAGCUGCCAAGUCAGUCAAGAUUAUAGUAUGCAGCAGAGCAAGACCUCUACGCCUGGGACAUCUUGCCAGCUGCCAAGUCAGUCAAGGUCAUCAGAUUGGAGAUUAUAGUAUGCAGCAGAGCAAUACCUCUACACCUGGGAAUCUCCCCAGCUGCCAAGUCAGUCAAGGUCAUCAGAUUUGAAGAUUAUAGUAUGCAACAGAGCAAGACCUCUACACCUGGGACAUCUCGCCAGCUGCCAAGUCAGUCAAGGUCAUCAGAACACUAUGUAAGCUCAACCCUGGGACCAUCUCAAGGACUUCCUAACCUGCCAGUGUCAGAGAUAUCAUCUGCCUCUGAUAUUGGCAACUCAGAAAGAGAUCAACCAGAAAUGUCUGGCAUAGAAUCAUUACAUUCUGAGAAAGCUGUCUAGGGUAACAACCAAAAAAUCUAUAUGUUUCAGAUGGCUGGCUUCAAGGCGAAUCACACUGUGAAGGAUUUUGAAGAAACUUGACACAAAUAUUCACCAAAUGUCUGCUGAGGUAAAAAGUACAACGGUGAAAACUAAAGCUGGGCGUGCAGUAGAAAAGAAAAGACUGUCAUCAUCUUUUGCAGACCCUUUUGCUCUUCCAAUUGACAUAACACUGCAGGAAUCAACCUAUGAGGAUUCUGACAACCCUGAUUAUGAACCGAGUUUUGUGUUGUCAGCAAUGAUUCCCGAUGGAACUGGCCGCAGUGUAGAAGAAGUGGCAUACGAAGAGGUUGAGUUUGGUUUGGAAGUAGAUUACCAACACAGUUGAUGAACAGGAUGUUGAAGAAAUGGAUGACAGACCUGGCAUUACGAAAGUUUCCACAGACCAGCAGUAUGAUGAUCUUUCUUCGUAUACACUGUGCCUGUCAUUCCUGCCACAAUUGAAGUUGUUGGCAUGUAUCACAGUGACUAAGUGUUGCAGUUGCAACGAGCCAGUCCAACUUACAGACAGCUUUGUAGGCUCAGCAUUAUAUUUCAAAUGGGUAUGUAACAAUGGUCAUGUUAGCAAGGAGUG